GACGAACGCUGGCGGCAUGCCUAAUACAUGCGAGUCGAGCGAACAGAUGAAGUGCUUGCACUUCUGACGUUAGCGGCGAACGGGUGAGUAACACGUAAGGAAUCUACCUAUAAGCGGGGGAUAACAUUCGGAAACGGGUGCUAAUACCGCAUAAUAUCUUCUUCCGCAUGGAAGAAGAUUGAAAGACGGCUCUGCUGUCACUUAUAGAUGACCUUGCGGUGCAUUAGUUAGUUGGUGGGGUAAUGGCCUACCAAGACGAUGAUGCAUAGCCGACCUGAGAGGGUGAUCGGCCACAUUGGGACUGAGACACGGCCCAAACUCCUACGGGAGGCAGCAGUAGGGAAUCUUCCGCAAUGGGCGAAAGCCUGACGGAGCAAUGCCGCGUGAGUGAAGAAGGCCUUCGGGUCGUAAAACUCUGUUAUAAGGGAAGAACAAAUUGUGGAGUAACUGCUACAGUCUUGACGGUAUCUUAUCAGAAAGCCACGGCUAACUACGUGCCAGCCGCCGCGGUAA
rnacentral:rRNA from 1 species